rnacentral:rRNA from 1 species
GACGAACGCUGGCGGCGUGCUUAACACAUGCAAGUCGUACGGUAAGGCCCUUUCGGGGGUACACGAGUGGCGAACGGGUGGGUAACACGUGAGUAACCUGCCCACAACUUUGGGAUAACGCUAGGAAACUGGUGGUAAUACUGGAUAUGUGCUCCUGCUGCAUGGUGGGGGGUGGAAAGCUCCGGGGGGUGUGGGUGGACUCGCGGCCUGUCAGCUUGUUUGUUGGGUAGUGGCCUACCAAGGCGGCGACGGGUAGCCGGCCUGAGAGGGUGACCGGCCACAUUGGGACUGGGAUACGGCCCAGACGCCUACGGGGGGCAGCAGUGGGGAAUAUUGCACAAUGGGCGCAAGCCUGAUGCAGCAACGCCGCGGGCGGGAUGACGGCCUUCGGGUUGUAAACCGCUUUCAGCAGGGACGAAGCUGUUUGUGACGGUACCUGCAGAAGAAGCACCGGCUAACUACGUG